UACAGAGGGUGCGAGCGUUAAUCGGAAUUACUGGGCGUAAAGGGCUCGUAGGCGGCCAACUAAGUCGGAUGUGAAAUCCCCAGGCUCAACUUGGGAACUGCAUCCGAUACUGGAUGGCUUGAAUCCGGGAGAGGGAUGCAGAAUUCCAGGUGUAGCGGUGAAAUGCGUAGAGCUCCGGAGGAACACCAGUGGCGAAGGCGGCCGCCUGGGCCAGUCCUGACGCUGAGCCGCGAAAGCGUGGGGAGCGAGCCGG
rnacentral:rRNA from 1 species